AGGGAGGUUUAGAGGGGACAGGGGUGAGGCAGGGAUUUGAUAGACAGACAGGGAGGUUUAGAGGGGACAGGGGUGAGGCAGGGAUUUGAUGGACAGACAGGGAGGUUUAGAGGGGACAGGGGUGAGGCAGGGAUUUGAUGGAAAGACAGGGAGGUUUAGAGGGAACAGGGGUGAGGCAGGGAUUUGAUGGACAGACAGGGAGGUUUAGAGGGAACAGGGGUGAGGCAGGGAUUUGAUGGACAGACAGGGAGGUUUAGAGGGAACAGGGGGUGAGGCAGGGAUUUGAUGGACAGACAGGGAGGUUUAGAGGGGACAGGGGUGAGGCAGGGAUUUGAUGGACAGACAGGGAGGUUUAGAGGGGACAGGGGGUGAGGCAGGGAUUUGAUGGACAGACAGGGAGGUUUAGAGGGGACAGGGGUGAGGCAGGGAUUUGAUGGACAGAUAGGGAGGUUUAGAGGGAACAGGGGUGAGGCAGGGAUUUGAUAGACAGACAGGGAGUUUAGAGGGGACAGGGGUGAGGCAGGGAUUUGAUGGACAGACAGGGAGGUUUAGAGGGGACAGGGGGUGAGGCAGGGAUUUGAUAGACAGGGAGGUUUAGAGGGGACAGGGGGUGAGGCAGGGAUUUGAUGGACAGACAGGGAGGUUUAGAGGGGACAGGGGGUGAGGCAGGGAUUUGAUGGACAGACAGGGUAAAUGGGAAGAUGAGUGACGGUAGGGAUAAAUGGGUGACUGUAGGUGUAAGAAUGUAGGGAUGUGCUAUGAAAGCUAAUUUGUCUGCAGACUUCUGAUCUUACAAAUGCAUAUUGUAAAAUAUCAACAAUUAACUUUACUCUUCGGUUUAGCUUGUCUCCUGCUAUGUACGUUGCUAGUGACCAGUCCCUAUCAUAGCGUAUGUAAAUGAUGGAAAAGGAAGUUGAGAGGUAAAACAGGUGAAAUUAACGGUAAAAUAUUCGGGAAAAGCUUAGGAAAGUUUACAACGACAAGUAACAAGAGUACAGGUCAAAUCUGGAUAUUAUGUAGCUCUCUUCAGUGAAAACCAGUCAGUCCUUGUGAACCCCCACCAAUAGAAAUCACAUUGUCUACAAAACAUCUACAAGAACAUAAUAAUGGCAAAACAAAGUGUCUAAACAUUAUUGACCUCCUCAAUAAAGAUGAACAAUAAUGAUUGUAUACUAUAAAUAAUUCAAACACUGAGCUAUAAUCGUAAAAAAACAUUUUUACAAAUAAAUAAAGGAAAAUUAUAUAUUUUUUAUAAGAAUUCAAAUUGCUCAGUAGAUUUU